CAGUAGCUUAAUUGAUUAAAGUGCUUGAUUGAUAAUCAAGAGAUUAAAUGUUUAAAUCAUUUCUGAUAGA
rnacentral:tRNA from 1 species